UACGAAGGGGGCUAGCGUUGUUCGGAAUUACUGGGCGUAAAGGGCGCGUAGGCGGCCUGCUAAGUCGGACGUGAAAUCCCUCGGCUCAACCGAGGAACUGCGUCCGAUACUGGUGGGCUUGAAUCCGGGAGAGGGAUGUGGAAUUCCAGGUGUAGCGGUGAAAUGCGUAGAUAUCUGGAGGAACACCGGUGGCGAAGGCGGCAUCCUGGACCGGUAUUGACGCUGAGGCGCGAAAGCUAGGGGAGCAAACGGG
rnacentral:rRNA from 1 species